rnacentral:rRNA from 1 species
UGCGCAGGCGGUUUUGUAAGUCAGAUGUGAAAUCCCCGAGCUCAACUUGGGAACUGCGUUUGAAACUGCAAGACUAGAAUAUGUCAGAGGGGGGUAGAAUUCCACGUGUAGCAGUGAAAUGCGUAGAGAUGUGGAGGAAUACCAAUGGCGAAGGCAGCCCCCUGGGAUAAUAUUGACGCUCAUGCACGAAAGCGUGGGGAGCAAACAGGAUUAGAUACCCCCGUA